UCCAGACUCCUACGGGAGGCAGCAGUGGGGGAUAUUGCACAAUGGGGGGAACCCUGAUGCAGCGACGCCGCGUGGGUGAAGGAGCGUUUCGGCGCGUAAAGCCCUCUCGGCAGGGAAGAAGGAGGACGGUACCUGACUAAGAAGCCCCGGCUAACUACGUGCCAGCAGCCGCGGUAAUACGUAGGGGGCAAGCGUUAUCCGGAUUUACUGGGUGUAAAGGGAGCGUAGACGGCAUGGCAAGCCAGAUGUGAAAUACCGGGGCUCAACCCCGGGACUGCAUUUGGAACUGUUAAGCUGGAGUGUCGGGGAGGCAGGCGGAAUUCCUAGUGUAGCGGUGAAAUGCGUAGAUAUUAGGAGGAACACCAGUGGCGAAGGCGGCCUGCUGGACGAUAACUGACGUUGAGGCUCGAAAGCGUGGGGAGCAAACAGGAUUAGAUACCCCAGUA
rnacentral:rRNA from 1 species